rnacentral:rRNA from 1 species
CAGUAGGGAUCUUCCGCAAUGGACGAAAGUCUGACGGAGCAACGCCGCGUGAGUGAUGAAGGUUUUCGGAUCGUAAAACUCUGUUAUUAGGGAAGAACAAAUGUGUAAGUAACUGUGCACAUCUUGACGGUACCUAAUCAGAAAGCCACGGCUAACUACGUGCCAGCAGCCGCGGUAAUACGUAGGUGGCAAGCGUUAUCCGGAAUUAUUGGGCGUAAAGCGCGCGUAGGCGGUUUCUUAAGUCUGAUGUGAAAGCCCACGGCUCAACCGUGGAGGGUCAUUGGAAACUGGGAAACUUGAGUACAGAAGAGGAAAGUGGAAUUCCAUGUGUAGCGGUGAAAUGCGCAGAGAUAUGGAGGAACACCAGUGGCGAAGGCGACUUUCUGGUCUGUAACUGACGCUGAUGUGCGAAAGCGUGGGGAUCAAACAGGAUUAGAUACCCUGGUAGUCCACGCCGUAAACGAUGAGUGCUAAGUGUUAGGGGGUUUCCGCCCCUUAGUGCUGCAGCUAACGCAUUAAGCACUCCGCCUGGGGAGUACGACCGCAAGGUUGAAACUCAAAGGAAUUGACGGGGCCC